UACGUAGGGUGCAAGCGUUGUCCGGAAUUAUUUGGGCGUAAAGAGCUCGUAGGCGGUCUGUCGCGUCUGCUGUGAAAACUCGGGGCUUAACCCCGGGCCUGCAGUGGGUACGGGCAGACUAGAGUGCGGUAGGGGAGACUGGAAUUCCUGGUGUAGCGGUGAAAUGCGCAGAUAUCAGGAGGAACACCGGUGGCGAAGGCGGGUCUCUGGGCCGUGAACUGACGCUGAGGAGCGAAAGUGUGGGGAGCGAACAGGG
rnacentral:rRNA from 1 species